AAGUUAAGGUUUGUAAAAAAUAGAAACUGCAAACUUCUAUAUAUGAAAUUUUCAUCAGGCCUU
rnacentral:tRNA from 1 species